AUGCAGUCGAGCGGUAACAGGAGAAAGCUUGCUUUCUUGCUGACGAGCGGCGGACGGGUGAGUAAUGUAUGGGGAUCUGCCCGAUAGAGGGGGAUAACUACUGGAAACGGUGGCUAAUACCGCAUAAUGUCUACGGACCAAAGCAGGGGCUCUUCGGACCUUGCACUAUCGGAUGAACCCAUAUGGGAUUAGCUAGUAGGUGGGGUAAAGGCUCACCUAGGCGACGAUCUCUAGCUGGUCUGAGAGGAUGAUCAGCCACACUGGGACUGAGACACGGCCCAGACUCCUACGGGAGGCAGCAGUGGGGAAUAUUGCACAAUGGGCGCAAGCCUGAUGCAGCCAUGCCGCGUGUAUGAAGAAGGCCUUAGGGUUGUAAAGUACUUUCAGCGGGGAGGAAGGUGAUAAGGUUAAUACCCUUAUCAAUUGACGUUACCCGCAGAAGAAGCACCGGCUAACUCCGUGCCAGCC
rnacentral:rRNA from 1 species